UACGUAGGGUGCGAGCGUUGCCCGGAUUUAUUGGGCGUAAAGGGCGCGUAGGCGGCCACGCACGUCCGUUGUGAAAUCGCCCGGCUCAACUGGGCGGGGUCAGCGGAUACGGUGUGGCUCGAGCAAGCUAGGGGGCAAUGGAAUUCCCGGUGUAGUGGUGGAAUGCGUAGAUAUCGGGAGGAACACCAGUGGCGAAGGCGGUUGCCUGGAGCUUUGCUGACGCUGAGGCGCGAAAGCG
rnacentral:rRNA from 1 species